rnacentral:sRNA from 2 species
AUAAGUUGACUAUCAUUCCCGAUAGGAUUCGCUGCGUGCGAAGUACCUUGUAACCUACGAAGAGGGGGAAAUAUUUUUUAUG